rnacentral:SRP_RNA from 1 species
GCCAGGCAUGAGGGUACAUGCCUGUAACCCCCAGCUAAAGGGAGGCUGAGGCUGGUGAAUUGAUUGAGUAUGGGAAUUCUGAACUACAACAGGAUUGAAGCUGAUCAGAUGAACUAAGUCUGGCGCCAGUAUGAUGAUUUACCAGUAGCAGAGGUUCACCAGGCUGCACGAGGAGUGAACUGGCCCAGGUCAGAAACAGAUCAGGUCAAAGCUUCUGUGCUGAUCAGCAGUACAGUCAAGGCUGUGAGUGGCCACUGUGCUUUUUAACCUAGGUACAACAGGGAGAACAAAU